CGCGGGAACACCGGCGGCCCGAGUGGUGAUCGUGAUUAUUGGGUCUAAAGGGUCCGUAGCCGGUUUGGUCAGUCCUCCGGGAAAUCUGAUAGCUCAACUAUUAGGCUUUCGGGGGAUACUGCCAGACUUGGAACCGGGAGAGGUAAGAGGUACUACAGGGGUAGGAGUGAAAUCUUGUAAUCCCUGUGGGACCACCUGUGGCGAAGGCGUCUUACCAGAACGGGUUCGACGGUGAGGGACGAAAGCUGGGGGCACGAACCGGAUUAGAUACCCGGGUAGUCCCAGCCGUAAACGAUGCUCGCUAGGUGUCAGGCAUGGCGCGACCGUGUCUGGUGCCGCAGGGAAGCCGUGAAGCGAGCCACCUGGGAAGUACGGCCGCAAGGCUGAAACUUAAAGGAAUUGGCGGGGGAGCACAACAACGGGUGGAGCCCUGCGGUUUAAUUGGACUCAACGCCGGACAACUCACCGGGGGCGACAGCAAUAUGUAGGCCAAGCUGAAGACUUUGCCUGAAUCGCUGAGAGGUGGUGCAUGG
rnacentral:rRNA from 1 species